UGGGGAAUAUUGGACAAUGGGCGAAAGUCUGAUCCAGCCAUGCCGCGUGAGUGACGAAGGCCUUAGGGUUGUAAAACUCUUUCGUCGGGGACGAUAAUGACGGUACCCGAAGAAGAAGCUCCGGCUAACUUCGUGCCAGCAGCCGCGGUAAUACGAAGGGAGCUAGCGUUGUUCGGAAUCACUGGGCGUAAAGCGCACGUAGGCGGAUAGUUAAGUCAGGGGUGAAAUCCUGGGGCUCAACCCCAGAACUGCCUUUGAUACUGGCUGUCUCGAGGUCGAGAGAGGUUGGUGGAAUUCCUAGUGUAGAGGUGAAAUUCGUAGAUAUUAGGAAGAACACCAGUGGCGAAGGCGGCUCACUGGAUCGGUACUGACGCUGAGGUGCGAAAGCGUGGGGAGCAAACAGGAUUAGAUACCCCCGUAGUCCCUGAGCGGGCUGGCAAGGCGCAU
rnacentral:rRNA from 1 species